CGAGAGAUGGCGGGCCCCCCGGCCCCCGUCCCCAACCCUUUGUUGACCCAACCUUUUUGCCUCGGGGGUGGAGCGUCCGUCGCCGCCCCCGGAGGACCACCCAACGCUGUCUCUUUGCGUCGGAGUAUUGAUUAAAAUGAAUGA
rnacentral:misc_RNA from 1 species